rnacentral:lncRNA from 1 species
AAAGUAUUCUUUGAGCAACCUGUUUUUGUUUUGCAUUUUGCAUUGGGGGCCUCCUUAUGUUGACGUCUUCGAUCACCCUGCCAUCCCAACUUCUUUCCCUUUGACAAUGCUCUGCCUUAGCAUUAUUUCUUGUAUCAAAAAGUGAUGCAUUAGAGUUUAAACUACUGAAUACUGCAUCCCAGCUCAGCUCUUCUUUUUUGUUGCUUGAAAUUGAGGGUUCCCCGUACUCUAUGGCAAGGUUGUUUGAAACUGUAUUGUUUCCUGCUUUAUUUGCUGCAGUAUGUUGCAGUUUUGUCAUUGUGGAUUGCUUUACAGUUUCAAUUGGAAAAAUUUCUUCCCCGCUGUAAAUACUGGAUGUAGAGAUGGGAGGAUAUCUUCGCACUU